AGAAUAAAAAUCGAGGCAUCGCUCUUUUUUUGAAGGGUGAUCGCGUCGGACUUGAGCCGUCUUUCAAAUGUUAAUUCAUGUCAAAGUGGCUUAAAAUUCAUCCAUCCGGUACGAUUAAAGCGUAUUUAAGAUCAAUUUUGAUUAAGAACGCGCGAUGACGUACCAUCUCAUGUAGUACGUUUGACCUGGCGUCGUCAGGAUCAUUCGUAUACGAUACUCAAAC
rnacentral:misc_RNA from 1 species